rnacentral:rRNA from 1 species
AGAGUUUGAUCAUGGCUCAGAAUGAACGCUGGCGGCAUGGCUAAGACAUGCAAGUCGAACGGACCAUAUAAUUGGGUAACCGAAAGUAUGGUUAGUGGCGAAAGGGUGAGGAAUAGAUAGGAACGUACCCUGUGCUCUGGGAUAGCGUCUGAAGCUUCGGCUUCUUCCGAAAGGGGCGGUAAUACCAGAUAAUGUCCUUCGGGACCAAAGAUUUAUCGGCAUUGGAGCGGCCUAUCUCCUAUCAGCUCGUUGGUGAGGUAACGGCUCACCAAGGCAACGACGGGUAGCGGGACUGAGAGGUUGGCCCGCCACAUCGGGACUGAGACACUGCCCGGACCUCCACGGAGGGCUGCAGUAACGGAUAUUGGGCAAUGGGCGAAAGCCUGACCCAGCAAUGCCGCGUGCAGGAUGAAGCCCCUAGGGGUGUAAACUGCUGUCAGGGGUCAGAAAGCUGGUUUCGGCCAGUUGAUCAACCCCAGAGGAAGUCACGGCUAACUUCGUGCCAGCAGCCGCGGUAAUACGAAGGUGGCAAGCGUUAUUCGGAAUCAUUGGGCUUAAAGGGCACGCAGGCGGAACAGUGUGUGUUGUGUGAAAUCCCCCGGCUUAACCGGGGAAUUGCACAGCAAACUGCUGUUCUUGAGGCAGGUAGGGGUGCAUGGAACUCUUGGUGGGAGCGUGGAAUGCGUAGAUAUCAGAGGGACGCCCAGAGGUGAAGACGUUGCGCUGGGCCUGUCCCUGACGCUGAGUGCGAAGGGCGUGGGGAGCGAACGGGAUUAGAUACCCCGGUAGUCCACGCCGUAAACGAUGUCUACUAGGUCGUGGGUGUUCUGACACAUUCACGGCCGGAGCAAAAGUGUUUAGUAGACCGCCUGGGGAGUACGGCCGCAAGGUUAAAACUCAAAUGAAUUGACGGGGGCUCACACAAGCGGUGGAGCAUGUGGAUUAAUUCGAAGCAACGCGCAGAACCUUACCUGGGUUUGACAUGCUUGUAUGCCUUCUCUGAAAGGAGUUAGGCUGCCUUCGGGUGAAACUUGCACAGGUGCUGCAUGGCUGUCGUCAGCUCGUGUCGUGAGAUGUCGGGUUAAGUCCUUUAACGAGCGAAACCCUUGCCGUUAGUUGCCAGCGAGUAAUGUCGGGGACUCUAACGGGACUGCCGGUGUUAAACCGGAGGAAGGUGGGGAUGACGUCAAGUCCUCAUGGCCUUUAUGCCCAGGGCUUCACACGUGCUACAAUGGCAAUUACAGAGCGACGCGAUACCGCGAGGUGGAGCAAAUCGCAAAAAAAUUGCCUCAGUUCGGAUUGCAGGCUGGCAAUUCGCCUGCAUGAAGUCGGAAUCGCUAGUAAUCGCGUAUCAGCAAUGACGCGGUGAAUGUGUUCCUGAGCCUUGUACACACCGCCCGUCAAGUGAUGGAAGCCGGGAGUACCCGAAGUCGGGUUGCUAACCUUUGGGAGGCGCCUGCCGACGGUAAGUUCGGUGACUGGCACUAAGUCGUAACAAGG